rnacentral:rRNA from 1 species
UAGGGAAUAUUAGAAAUGGACGAAAGCCUGAUCUAGCAACACCGCGUGUGCGAAGAAGGCCUUCGGGUCGUAAAGCACUUUUUGGAAGGAAUAGGAAGGAAUGUACUUCCAGAAUAAGUCUCGGCUAACUACGUGCCAGCAGCCGCGGUAACACGUAGGAGGCGAACGUUAUCCGGAUUUACUGGGCGUAAAGCGCGUGUAGGUGGUACUGUAAGUAGGGCGUGAAAGCUCCCGGCUCAACUGGGAGAGGCCGUUCUAAACUACAGAACUAGAGGAUGGUAGAGGGAGGUGGAAUUCCAGGUGUAGCGGUGGAAUGCGCAGAUAUCUGGAGGAACACCGGUGGCGAAGGCGGCCUCCUGGACCAUUCCUGACACUCAGACGCGAAAGCUAGGGUAGCAAACGG